AAGUCGUAACAAGGUUUCCGUAGGUGAACCUGCGGAAGGAUCAUUACCGAACUGUCGACACGAGUUGUUGCUGGCCCUCGAGAGGGGGCACGUGCACGCUCUGUUUACACAUCCACUCACACCUGUGCACCCUCUGUAGUUCUGUGGCCUUGGGGGCUCUGUCCCCUUGCCGUGGUCCUACGUCUUUACACACACACCGUAACAAAGUCUCAUGGAAUGUAUGUCGCAUUUAACGCAAUACAAUACAACUUUCAGCAACGGAUCUCUUGGCUCUC
rnacentral:misc_RNA from 1 species